rnacentral:rRNA from 1 species
CCAAUAGCGUAUAUUAAAGUUGUUGCAGUUAAAAAGCUCGUAGUUGAAUUUCGGGAUCAGUUGGUCGGUCGUGCCUUGGUACGUACUGGCUAAAUCGAUUCCUCCCUUCUGACGAACCGCGAUGUCAUUAAUUUGGUGUCAUGGGGAAUCAGGACUGUUACUUUGAAAAAAUUAGAGUGUUUAAAGCAGGCUCGCGCUUGAAUACAUUAGCAUGGAAUAA